CUACGGGACGCUCCAGUGGGGAAUAUUGCACAAUGGGGGAAACCCUGAUGCAGCAACGCCGCGUGAGUGAUGACGGCCUUCGGGUUGUAAAGCUCUGUCUUCAGGGACGAUAAUGACGGUACCUGAGGAGGAAGCCACGGCUAACUACGUGCCAGCAGCCGCGGUAAUACGUAGGUGGCAAGCGUUGUCCGGAUUUACUGGGCGUAAAGGGAGCGUAGGCGGACUUUUAAGUGGGAUGUGAAAUACCCGGGCUCAACCUGGGUGCUGCAUUCCAAACUGGAAGUCUAGAGUGCAGGAGGGGAAAGUGGAAUUCCUAGUGUAGCGGUGAAAUGCGUAGAGAUUAGGAAGAACACCGGUGGCGAAGGCGACUUUCUGGACUGUAACUGACGCUGAGGCUCGAAAGCGUGGGGAGCAAACAGGAUUAGAUACCCUCGUAGUC
rnacentral:rRNA from 1 species